rnacentral:rRNA from 1 species
GACGAACGCUGGCGGCGUGCUUAACACAUGCAAGUCGAGCGGUAAGGCCCUUUCGGGGGUACACGAGCGGCGAACGGGUGAGUAACACGUGGGUGACCUGCCCUCAGCUCUGGGAUAAGCCUGGGAAACUGGGUCUAAUACUGGAUAUGACUCCACGGUGCAUGUCGUGGGGUGGAAAGCCUUGUGCGGCUGAGGAUGGGCCCGCGGCCUAUCAGCUUGUUGGUGGGGUGANGGCCUACCAAGGCGACGACGGGUAGCCGGCCUGAGAGGGCGACCGGCCACACUGGGACUGAGACACGGCCCAGACUCCUACGGGAGGCAGCAGUGGGGAAUCUUGCGCAAUGGGCGAAAGCCUGACGCAGCGACGCCGCGUGAGGGAUGACGGCCUC